rnacentral:lncRNA from 1 species
CACUAUUACAUGCACCUGCUUCUGGGAGUAUGGAGGCAAGAGUUUCUAUUAGAGAUGGGUCCCAGCUGCAAUGGUAACUUUCUGUGGUAUAAGAAGGCAGACAUCAGAAAGAUCCUGGGGAUUCAUGACCCAAGGACUCAUCUAAUCCAUGCUACUGGAUAAACUGCUGAUGGAGAAUAUUUUUACAAUUCAUUACUGACAGCUACCAUGUUUAGAAGUUAGCCUGGC